CGAUGCAACUGCAGAUCUAGUUCAAAAAACCAAUGCCAAACAAAAACAUGCAUUUGUAGGAAAAAUGGAAUGAAGUGUAUGGCAGCGUGUGGGGGUUGCCAUGGUAUGGAAUGCAGCAAUAAGACAUUGGACAUUGAGGAGGAACAUGAAAACAGUGAUAAAGACAGCGAUGAAGAAGAAAACUCUAAAAAUAUUUUUGAUGAAAUGUUUUAAACAUCAAAAUAUUAUCAUAAUAAA